UCGCCUGUUUNNNCAAAAACAUAGUUUUUUGAUUAUAAUUUAAAAUUUAAUCUGCUCAAUGAUUAAUUAAAUUGCCGCAGUAUAUUGACUGUGCUAAGGUAGCAUAAUAAUUAGUUUCUUAAUUAGGAACUGGGAUGAAUGAUUGGACAAGAAAAUUUCUGUCUUUUUUAAUGAUUUUUUGAAUUUUAUUUUUAAGUGAAAAAGCUUAAAUUUUUUUAAAAGACGAGAAGACCCUAUAGAUUUUUAUUAUUUAAAUUAUUAUUAGUAAUUGAUUUAUUUUAAAUAAUUUGGUUGGGGUGACUUGGAGAUUGAAAAAAUUCUUUAAAUUUUAAAUUAAUGAUUUUUAAAUUUAUAAUCUAAUUUUUUAAAAUAAAUUUAAUUACCUUAGGGAUAACAGCGUAAUAUUUCUUAAAAGUUCUUAUUUAAAGAAAAGUUUGCGACCUCGAUGUUGGAUUAAAUUUUAUUAUUGGUGUAGUAGCUUAUUAAUUAGGUCUGUUCGACCUUUAAAAAUUUACAUGAUCUGAGUUCARACCGG
rnacentral:rRNA from 1 species